CACAAAGAAACACUUUCAUAAUUAAAACAUAGAUUACCACAAACCUUAAAGUACAUUAUUCAUUACUUAUUGAACAUCACCCCAAACAUAAAACCAUUGUUCAAACUUCAAACAUAACUAUUUAGAAAUAAAUUAAAAUGCAGCAUACACGGAUUCCACUUUUCCUGGUGGUGCUUUGGUUGGAGGUGGGCUUGGCUUCGGCAUUGGAACUUGGCUUGGCUCUGCAGCUUGCAAAGAAGUUGAAGCUUCUUGACUCGGUUCACCUGAUCCUUGGACAAUUACCUCCACUCGAGGAGUUCGUUUUUUAGUGACCCUUGAUUUUUUUCGAGUUUUCAUAAUAUGUCUAGCCUGUCAAGUAUUCAACAAAAACUAGAUAUAGAUUUCUAAAACAAUAACUGUUAAGCGAAAAAAUUAAUUUUCUAAACAAAUCUUAACAUUUGUUAAAAAAAAUAUAAUAGCGAAAACACAAUAAUAUUCAAUAUACCUAUAAUACAAGUAAUGACAUGUAUAUAUAUAUAUAUAUAAAAGGAGUUUUACAUGUAUGGAUUGUCAAGUCUUUACCCAUUAAUUUGUUUAGGGAAUUAGUCAUUUUUCUCUAGUGAAAUUCGUGGGGGUUGGGGGUUUGAUGUCUAUAUUUUCAAUGAGUAUAGAUCAAUUUUGUGACAUAAGCCUCAAAUAUCCAGACCAGAACCCUAGCCAGAAAUUAAAUGAUCAAAAGAAUUGGCAAAGUUAAGGAUUCACAAAUCAACUCUGAAUUUCUUUUGUAAAAAUAAUUUGAUUAGCUUUCCCCCAAUUUUCCUUCUUGAUUCUGAAAGUUUAACAUCAAGGUGUAAGAUCUAAAUAGCCAGCAUCAGCUGAUAUUCAUAGGACCAGUAAAACUAAAACAUAAAAAAGCCAAUCAGGAACAAAUCCAACACCACAAGAACCAGACUAAUUAAAACAAAAAAAAUGAUCCCAAAAGAAAAGAGCACAAUGAUCUGAAAUCAGAUAUCUAUAACAUAACUGCAUUCAACCUCAAAAACCAACUUCCAGAUCAUCAUAUAUAAUUCCGCUCCAUCAAGUCGUCGAAAAAAUCAUUGAAAAACAUCAUAUCAUUACUAGAAGUUCACCAAACGUUUGGAUCUAAAAAAAUUAGUAAACAUUCGAAUUUAAAAAAACUUAUACUAGUUUUAAUAGAAAUCUUUGUUAAUCGCUAAUUUCCAUUAGUCAUUUCUUUGGCAAACAAUCAGUUUAUACAUUUAAAGAAAUCGCAGCGAACUAAAAUCAACAGACAGAGAGAGAAAUCUAGAUACCAUAAAAUGUCUGAAAGCACUACUCACAUUGGAAUCUUCAUAAUCAGGAACAUCUAUAAUUUCUUGACUCUGAGCUCUCCUUGCGUGACCGAUAACAGUCUGCAGCUUAGGUCUCUCCAUUCUCAGUUACAAGACGGCGGAGAAUUCUAGACAGAUAAAGAGAGAAUUCUAGAGAGUGAGGAGUGUGUGUUUCUUCAAUAUUUAUAGAAAUGGCAACACCCAUAUGAACCCUAGAUGAUCCUAGCAUGAUCCUAGCCGUUCACUCAAGUGGGCCCCAUUAAUGUAUGAUGGAGAGGUUUCUAUUGUCUUGUUCUUCUUCCUUUUCUUUUCCACUUAGCGGCCGGGUUAAUAAAGAAGUUCAGUAUUUGCUGAUCAGUCCUUCUGUACACAAACAAAAAUAUCAAUCCAGCAAAUCAAAAUUGUUUUCCUCUUUUUGAUAAUAUUCAUGAGCUGAACUCUAAAAAAAUGAAUGAUCAUUAAAAAUAAAUUUUCUUGAAUCUAAUUUCAUUUUAAUAUAUUUAUUUUCUUUUCAGCCUCGAAAUAUGAAUUUUAUAAAUUUAAAAUUUAAUUAUGAAGAAAAGACCAUUAAACUUUUGUCAAGUAUAAAAAAAAUACAAAUUUGAUUAUUUUAUGUAUUAAGGCUAUGCCCUUGACAACAAUACAAUUUUUAAAUAUUUGGUUUUUCUCAUCAAGUUUUCAUACAAUGUCAGUCAUCCUUCAAGUUUUUUUUUUUUUUUAGUCAAUUAGGCCCUCAACUGAAAAGUGACAAUCUCGUUCCUUGACCCAUUUUUUUCUUUCUAAUUUCACUCAAAUUGAAGCAUGUGCUUAGCCUUCGCUACUUUGGUCGGGGCAAAUAAGUCUCUUACAAAUUCUAAUUUUUAUAAAAUUGUUUUGCUAAUGAUUUCUUCAAAACUUAAAAAUAGAAUAGACACUAUUUAUGUGUAUAACCCACCGGUGUUGAGUCGAAUAACGUUGCUCCUCGCACAUUGCUCCCUGUCAGUUCUCCAUUAAACAAAGAAUCAACAACUCCAGCAAUAAUAUAGAAUAGUUGAAGGUUUUGGAAGAGAAAUAAUCAAAAAGCAGCAAUGAGAAGUAGUCAUACUUGAAAAAAU
rnacentral:lncRNA from 1 species